GUUACUAGGGUGUGUAUAAGCAUAUUAGAUUUUCGUUCUAAUGGUGUAGAUUAAUUUUACUUGUAAUU
rnacentral:tRNA from 1 species